GACGAACGCUGGCGGCGUGCUUAACACAUGCAAGUCGAACGGAAAGGCCCUGCUUUUGUGGGGUGCUCGAGUGGCGAACGGGUGAGUAACACGUGAGUAACCUGCCCUUGACUUUGGGAUAACUUCAGGAAACUGGGGCUAAUACCGGAUAGGAGCUCCUGCUGCAUGGUGGGGGUUGGAAAGUUUCGGCGGUUGGGGAUGGACUCGCGGCUUAUCAGCUUGUUGGUGGGGUAGUGGCUUACCAAGGCUUUGACGGGUAGCCGGCCUGAGAGGGUGACCGGCCACAUUGGGACUGAGAUACGGCCCAGACUCCUACGGGAGGCAGCAGUGGGGAAUAUUGCACAAUGGGCGGAAGCCUGAUGCAGCAACGCCGCGUGCGGGAUGACGGCCUUCGGGUUGUAAACCGCUUUCGCCUGUGACGAAGCGUGAGUGACGGUAAUGGGUAAAGAAGCACCGGCUAACUACGUGCCAGCAGCCGCGGUGAUACGUAGGGUGCGAGCGUUGUCCGGAUUUAUUGGGCGUAAAGGGCUCGUAGGUGGUUGAUCGCGUCGGAAGUGUAAUCUUGGGGCUUAACCCUGAGCGUGCUUUCGAUACGGGUUGACUUGAGGAAGGUAGGGGAGAAUGGAAUUCCUGGUGGAGCGGUGGAAUGCGCAGAUAUCAGGAGGAACACCAGUGGCGAAGGCGGUUCUCUGGGCCUUUCCUGACGCUGAGGAGCGAAAGCGUGGGGAGCGAACAGGCUUAGAUACCCUGGUAGUCCACGCUGUAAACGGUGGGUACUAGGUGUGGGGUCCAUUCCACGGGUUCCGUGCCGUAGCUAACGCUUUAAGUACCCCGCCUGGGGAGUACGGCCGCAAGGCUAAAACUCAAAGGAAUUGACGGGGCCCCGCACAAGCGGCGGAGCAUGCGGAUUAAUUCGAUGCAACGCGUAGAACCUUACCUGGGUUUGACAUGGAUCGGGAGUGCUCAGAGAUGGGUGUGCCUCUUUUGGGGUCGGUUCACAGGUGGUGCAUGGCUGUCGUCAGCUCGUGUCGUGAGAUGUUGGGUUAAGUCCCGCAACGAGCGCAACCCUUGUUCACUGUUGCCAGCACGUUAUGGUGGGGACUCAGUGGAGACCGCCGGGGUCAACUCGGAGGAAGGUGGGGAUGACGUCAAGUCAUCAUGCCCCUUAUGUCCAGGGCUUCACGCAUGCUACAAUGGCUGGUACAGAGAGUGGCGAGCCUGUGAGGGUGAGCGAAUCUCGGAAAGCCGGUCUCAGUUCGGAUUGGGGUCUGCAACUCGACCUCAUGAAGUCGGAGUCGCUAGUAAUCGCAGAUCAGCAACGCUGCGGCGAAUACGUUCCCGGGGCU
rnacentral:rRNA from 1 species